GACGGAGGAUGCAAGUGUUAUCCGGAAUCACUGGGCGUAAAGGGUGCGUAGGCGGGUCUUUAAGUCAGGGGUGAAAUCCUGGAGCUCAACUCCAGAACUGCCUUUGAUACUGAAGAUCUUGAGUUCGGGAGAGGUGAGUGGAACUGCGAGUGUAGAGGUGAAAUUCGUAGAUAUUGGGAAGAACACCGGUGGCGAAGGCGGCUCACUGGCUCAUUUCUGACGCUCAGGCGCGACAGCGUGGGGAUCAAACAGG
rnacentral:rRNA from 1 species